UCUCCCAUCCAAGCACUAACCAGGUCCAGCCCUGCUUAUCUUCCAAGAUCAGAUGAGACUGGGCACAUUCAGGGUGGUAUGGCCAUAGAC
rnacentral:sRNA from 1 species